GAAGGAAAGUAGGACUAAAUUCAGACUUCUAAUCUGUUAUUUGAGCAGUUCAAGUCUGUUCUUCCUUUU
rnacentral:tRNA from 1 species